rnacentral:rRNA from 1 species
UACGGGGGGAGCAAGCGUUGUUCGGAUUUACUGGGCGUAAAGGGCUCGUAGGCGGUUUGUCGCGUCGGGAGUGAAAACCUUGGGCUUAACUCAGGGCUUGCUUUCGAUACGGGCAGACUAGAGGUAUGCAGGGGAGAACGGAAUUCCUGGUGUAGCGGUGAAAUGCGCAGAUAUCAGGAGGAACACCGGUGGCGAAGGCGGUUCUCUGGGCAUGAUCUGACGCUGAGGAGCGAAAGUGUGGGGAGCGAACAGG